GGCGCUCCUUCAGCUUCUCGGCGACCUCGGGGGAGUCGGAGAGUUGCCGGCUCAUGGCCGUCAGCACCACCGUGGGGUUCACGGAGUUCACCCGGAUCUGCAGCCAGCACAGGGGGUCGUCCGGCGGGGCCCGAAGGCCACUGAAGUUCAGCUGCAUGCUGCCACCUCUCAGCUUUGGCCAUUCUGGAGAGAGGAGGCCUUGGACUGUUUAUAGGCCUCAUGGCAGUGAGUGCCUGUGCCCUAUAGCAAAAAUCUCAACAACAGAAAAAGGUGAGUGAUGGGCACUCAGGGAAGGGUGGAGCUGGAUCUUAGCAGUGGGGAAGUGGAAUUUGAGAGGGUGGGGGAAAGUAACCUAAGAAGGAAAUCAUAGUACAUCUUGACUAACAAGCUGAUAUUUGGGAAGAUGGAGAGACUGUAUAUGUCAAAGAAGCCCCAACUCUUUGCUUCCUUGUUUGAGGCAUGAGCUCUUUGCUAAACCACAAGCUCCGGGGAAUUCUCUCAGCGGGUCACGCUUCAAGCACACCUCCACCAGGGGGCGCUGUGCUCCAGGAAAAAUAAAUCACACCGUUCUGGAAAUAGGAGGUCCUUCCCGUGGAGCCACGAAUGGGAAUGUUUUGAGAAUGGUGUAAGUUCACAGUUUCAGAUCCUCGGUGCUGUGUCUUGUUGCUCCCUCCCACCCCUGAGAUGGCCAUUUUCUUCUGCAGUGAUGCUUUUCCCAGGAGAACAGAGCCCGGCCUGCAGCACAACCCUCCAGUCUUCUCUCAGUACCCUCUUUCUUCCAGGUUGCUCCUCCCCUUCCUUUGUCCCGAUAACAUCGAACAGGGCAAACUCAAUUUCUGCAGCUUUUUAUUGACUAGCUGAUCCUCUAGAUGUACCAGGGAGAGGUUAUUUCCUUUUUCGCAGGAAACCUCAACAUCAAGGUGGAAAAGGACUGGUUUCCAGGAAGAGCACCUCCAGAAAAGACCACCCCGCUAAGAAACAAACAAACUUUUUAUCUAGGUGGGGUCUUCAGGAGGAAAUUGCGAUGAAGGUCAUCAUGGCAGAGUCCCCACGAUUGUGUCCUGCUGGAAAGGGAACGAGACCAGAAUAGAGAGACUCUGGACGCACACACUCUGCUCUGCGCUCCAGCUCUGAUGUGAUCUCCAGGACUCUUCAAGAUCCCCACCAGACACGGCCCCUGGACUAGGACCUCCAAACUGUAAGCUGACACACCUCUAUUCUCUUACAUUAUUCAGACUCAGGUAUUUUCUGUUAUUAGCAUUGGAACAGCUUAGAAUGAUGUUAUUGUCAGCAUAAAUGGGAAGAAUAGAUAAAUUCACUGUGUAAGGUAUGGACUAUGGUAAUGCAGUGACAGAAACAGUAAAGAUUAACUGGCCCGCUUGCUGAAGCAAAGCACUGGCACCAAAUCAUACUAGUAGUCCUUGUGUUUCUCACUCCACACACUCCCAGUAAAAAUAAAGGGGUCCAGGGACCAGCAGUUAGCAUA